rnacentral:rRNA from 1 species
GGGGAUUGCGUCUGAUUAGCUAGUUGGAGGGGUAACGGCCCACCAAGGCAAUGAUCAGUAGCCGGUCUGAGAGGAUGAACGGCCACAUUGGGACUGAGACACGGCCCAGACUCCUACGGGAGGCAGCAGUGGGGAAUCUUCCGCAAUGGACGAAAGUCUGACGGAGCAACGCCGCGUGAGUGAUGACGGCCUUCGGGUUGUAAAGCUCUGUUAAUCGGGACGAAAGGUCCUCUUGCGAAUAGUUAGAGGAAUUGACGGUACCGGAAUAGAAAGCCACGGCUAACUACGUGCCAGCAGCCGCGGUAAUACGUAGGUGGCAAGCGUUGUCCGGAAUUAUUGGG